CGCCCCGUCUCCUCGGAGACACAGGGACGCCACACUGGGACUCUGGGUGGGUGAGGGGGCUCCUGAGCAAACUGUUCACCUCCUGAGCUCUAAUGAACCGGGGGAGAAACGGGGGCCCAAAGGAGAUCAAAGGUUGAGACAGAUGGUCCAGGCAGCGGCCACAUCAAACAGCCUGUCAGCUUUGUCCACUGUUCAGCCCACGUGGGCCAGGGACUCGAGUUUUGCCUUAAUUGACUUAACAUGGUGUCAUGGAGAUGCUGACAAAGAGUGAGUUCCUGGCCAGAGCUUAAACUUAAGAGCGGAUUUCCAAGGAGGCCUGCGUUCUCCCCUCCGGGGACUCUGGGCAGAGGAAAACAGGAAGGGAGGCCGAGGGCCUUUAACGCGGUUGGAUUCUGCCCUCCUGGACCACCAGAGUCACGAGAUGAGAUGCAACACCGACAGGUACACUUUAAAGGAGCUUGUGUGCUUUCCGGAGUGACGGGGGUCUCAUCCGGAGCCAACGGCUAAUUCUCAAGUAGAUUGAUAGCAAAUGCUCACUCGACCAGAGGAGGGUUUAGUGGCUCUCAGAACCCCUGGUCUCCACGUCCUGGUCCCUCAUCUGUUGAAACUACUGGGAGUUCUUGUUCUGGCGAGGAUGACGAGAGCAGUUCUCAAGCCGCUAUCCGCUCUCCCCUGAAUGGCCGUCAGCCGGGAAGUCGCGGGCUCUGUGGCCCGCAUGGCAAACAUCUGCUUUGUCCUUGUGGGCGCUGCCUUUUGAAACGGGAAUAAGUAAAAGUUGUUCUGGUUCACUUGCUAUACUUUCUUUUCCUCUCAACUUUGGUAGGAAUUGUUUCUUCCUGCUGCCAUCGAGCUCUAAAAGAUGCCGUCAGAGGGAAACGUCAGCCCGCUCCCCAUGAAAGCCACAGCGGCGUGAAGCGGGCAGAGAGGGAGGAUCAGGCCAGAAUGUGUCUGUAAAAACAGCCUAGUCUGAACGUUUUCAAAUAAAGGAUUCAAUUGUGCGCC